rnacentral:rRNA from 1 species
AGAGCGAACGCUGGCGGCAGGCCUAACACAUGCAAGUCGAGCGCCCGUAGCAAUACGGGAGCGGCAGACGGGAUAGUAACACGUGAGAACGCGCCCUUCGGUUCGGAAUAACUCAGGGAAACUUGAGCUAAUACCGGAUACGCCCUUACGGGGAAAGAUUUAUUGCCGAAGGAACGGCCCGCGUCCGAUUAGCUAGUUGGUGAGGUAAUGGCUCACCAAGGCGACGAUCGGUAGCU